rnacentral:rRNA from 1 species
CAGUGGGGAAUAUUGGACAAUGGGCGCAAGCCUGAUCCAGCCAUACCGCGUGGGUGAAGAAGGCCUUCGGGUUGUAAAGCCCUUUUGUUGGGAAAGAAAUCCAGCUGGCUAAUACCCGGUUGGGAUGACGGUACCCAAAGAAUAAGCACCGGCUAACUUCGUGCCAGCAGCCGCGGUAAUACGAAGGGUGCAAGCGUUACUCGGAAUUACUGGGCGUAAAGCGUGCGUAGGUGGUCGUUUAAGUCCGUUGUGAAAGCCCUGGGCUCAACCUGGGAACUGCAGUGGAUACUGGGCGACUAGAGUGUGGUAGAGGGUAGCGGAAUUCCUGGUGUAGCAGUGAAAUGCGUAGAGAUCAGGAGGAACAUCCAUGGCGAAGGCAGCUACCUGGACCAACA